rnacentral:rRNA from 1 species
UACGAAGGGGGCUAGCGUUGCUCGGAAUCACUGGGCGUAAAGCGCACGUAGGCGGAUUGCUAAGUCAGGGGUGAAAUCCUGGAGCUCAACUCCAGAACUGCCUUUGAUACUGGCGACCUUGAGUCCGGGAGAGGUGAGUGGAAUUCCUAGUGUAGAGGUGAAAUUCGUAGAUAUUAGGAAGAACACCAGUGGCGAAGGCGGCUCACUGGUCCGGUACUGACGCUGAGGUGCGAAAGCGUGGAGAGCAAACAGG